rnacentral:lncRNA from 1 species
UAAGACAUAUGUCUUUGAGGGUCAGUAAUAUAACUGUUCAAUGUUUUCAACAGCUUCAAAUUAAAAUUGUUGUUUAUACAACUAAAUCCAUUGUCAGUAUUUCAGAAGUUUUGGUGAUUUUAUUGUACCCUGGAUUAUCUUUUUGGCCAAUCCCACACGAUCUCCUUGUAUUUAUACCUUUCCACACCGUAAGAUGGACAUGUCCUAUAGAAGUAACUAAUACAAGUCUGAUUAACUUGGUUCUGUUUUAUUCCAAAGACAUUGCAUAAACAAACAAGAAAGUUUAAAUAUAUAUGAUAAUAUUCCUUAACAAAACCUAGCAUUUAAUGCAGCUUUUACCUCCUCUCAUCCACUUUUGCACAAUAUCCCUAUUACAACCAUCUGUAGGACUUGCUACUAAUGAUAUACUACAACCCACAUAGGUAAUGCAUAUUUAAUGAUUUUUAUAACAGUAACGGUAAUCAAGUAAAAAAAAAAAGAGGCAAUUUUGCAAAGUUGAAUACUUCCAGAAUUAUUUCUAUGCAUUGCCUCAAAUUCUCUUAUAUAAAAAUUAAUACAAUUUCAAACUUCCUGGCAUCGAACAAAUCAUUUGAUUCUAUUGUCCCUUUUUAACUUUUUGAUGACACUAUCAUGACAAUAUCCCCUUGAAUAAAAAGUCUGCUCUGAACCCAGUGCAAAAAUUGUCAAUUUAAUGCUAUGAAAGUGUGAAAAAUCUAAUCAGUUAUACAGAAUUAAAAAAGCAAUAAUAAGAUGGAAGCAUUAUAUAGUAACACUAUCUGAUCUUACUGCUCAAAAUAUCAAUGAAAAUAUUAAUGAGUAAUGGAAAAUUUCUUUUAAAUGUUUUUGAUGACUAUAAAAUAAAUGAAAAUAUAAAAAAAUGUAACAUGAACAAACAUAAUCUUUUUCUACUACCUAAAGAAUAAAAAAAUAUUACCAUGAAAAGGGAAGAUAAGUAAGCAUUCAGAAAUGAAAAUUGUCUGUUGUAUCUGCUUCAUGGUAUUAUGAUUCAACAAAAAGAUUUAUAUUAUAGUAUCUCAUUGGAUUCAAAUACGUAUACUGGGCAGUGGUGGAUUCAAGAGGUGUUUGUUAGGGAUUGGAACCCCCCUUUGUUAGACAAUCGAUGCAUUUGAAAGGGAACAUAUGGUUGGAACCCCUCCCCCUAAAAAUGACUCGAUCUGCCCCUACUGGAUAAAUGAAGUGGUAUACAAGCUUUUAAAACAAUUCACUCUUUAAACAAGCUUUUAAAAUGUAAAGUAAACAUUCUACAUAUUGAAAGAAAUAGAAGGCUAAUUUUACACUCCUAAUAACAUACUAAUAUUAUGGAAUUCAAUAAUAAGAAAAUAGAUAUAUAAAAGUAUGAACACAGUCUACAAACAAGUACAAAAUCCUCGCUCGCUCACACAAAUAAAUAAAUAAUACUUAACCCAAAAUGUGUGAUAAUGAAAUAAGCCAAUACGUCUCAACACAAUAACCACACUUAUUUACAGUCUCUUAUACACUUUAAAGGUGAAGGUCAAGUCCUACAAAUCUGUGGCCAUCAGAUAAUUAUCUUCAUAUGAGUUGUUUUAAUUAUUUGUACAAACAGUUGGAAUGUUUACAUAUAAUGACAUUAAAUUUUUAUGUUAUUCUAAGGAUGUAUAUGAAUGAAAAUCCAAAGGUAUCAGACAAACACACUGUUAUUCUAAAGACAUAUAUGGAUGAAAAAUACAAAGGUAUCAGACAAACACACUGUUAUUCUAAAGAUGUAUAUGGAUGAAAAAUACAAAGGUAUCAGACAAACACACUAAGUGUUUUGUGUACGUGUAUAUACAAAGGUAUCAGAUAAACACACUAAACUAAGUGUUUUAUUUAUAUACAGAUAGCCAUGUUUAUAACAAUUACCUACAUGUGAAGGUUGUUGUAUUCAGUUUACAAUUUUGCUGAUAAACUAUUUCUAACUCAUUCUUUUAGCAAAAAGAACUAAAAUUUAUGAAACCACAUAUAAACUUAAACCUCACCUCAUUUAUACACAAAAACAAACUUAUUUACAUGAAAUAAACUCUACAAUGAACAAACAAAACAUAUAAAUAAUGUGGUCAUUUUUCAGUAAAUAAUUUUGUCAUACCCUAUGAUUUAUCUUUCUAAUUUCUUAAAUCUCCAAUUGUUUAUACUGGUGCCUUUUCAACUGAUACAACAUAUUGCAUACUCUGAAAUUGUAUAAACAAGUUACCAUUCAUCAGGCUGCAGCAUUUUAUUUUUCCCCUUCCAAGCACAUUCUUUUUAAAUUCUAGUUGUGGAAAAUUUAAUGGAAAAUGUGAGUGACUUAUCCUCCCCCUUUUUUCAUGUCACCGGUUCAGUUGUAACACAUUGGACAGGAUACAGGACAGUUGCCCAAUCCCCCCUUUAAUAAUCUUUUACACUUUUCUACUAUCAACAUAUUUGAGGUUCUAUGUGGAAUUUAAAGAAUAUUAGAGAAUAAAACUAGAAAUAUGGACCAAAAAAUAUUAAGAAUAGAGAAUAAUGGGUAAAAGAAUAUAAAGAUAGAGAAAAAUGACCUAAAAUGAAACAAUAAAGAAAUGCAAGAAGACCCCCCCCUCCUCUUUCCAAGACCGCCACAAUCCCUUGAGCUGGCAAGUUGGUUGCAGAUAUUGGCAUUUCAUUUUCAGACUGAUCUUUGCAGGUAUUACAUUGACACCAAAAAGGAAAGGUAAAAAGACACUAUUGCACACAUUAAAACACCAGUUAGUUUUAUGACUUUUUUUUUGGAACUUGAGUCAACACACCAAGUGUUCAUAGUGGAACAGAGACUGCUGACAGAUCUGAGAGUACCUUAGUUUAUCUUGUUUAUGGUUGAGAUAAUGUUUUCAAUUGUCUAUGUAUAGUUAAGUGGGCUGAUGUCUAUUUUUUAUGUUUUUUUGCAGCUGAACUGUUGUGUUUUUUCAUUUGUGGUUUUUGGUCACUCCUUCAAUAUUUCUUCCACUUUUUUGCAAGCUUGGAGUAACAAUAAAUGUUUUACAAAACAAAAUUUUCUCGACUUAACCAACACAACUGAAACAAGAUUACAGCAUUGCUGUGCAAAACUGAAUAUCUAAUUGACAGUGUACAUCCAUACUUGUCCAUUACAGGUCAACAGAUCUAUGGGUUGACCGGUAUGGAAUAUACUCCUUAGUCGCACCAAAUAAACAUAUAACUUUUUUUUACCAAAAAACUACACAUAUACAUGUUAUAAUAAAUUCAAUACUUUGUUUUAACAAUAUGAUAAAUGCUCUAGAUAAACCAACAACAUAUCUAUAGACUAUUUACAAUUUACAAUUUAAAUACAUUUAAGUGCACAACUCUUUUCAAGUUAAAACAGAAAAUGUCAGUUAUUUGUUAUUGUAGGAAAAAAACCAAGGGUGUUACUGUUUUUUUUUUUACUUUCUUUUUUCACUUGCUGUAUCAACACUUUUGAUGAAAUGAAAGAUUGUCUGCUGGAUCAAAUAGUACACAGUUAUUACUUCAGUCACUUUCAGGUGAAAAUCUGUCAUCAAAGAUUUACUAAUUAUUAUCCAAUGGACAGCACUAAUACCUUUAUUCUUCCCUUCAAACAUUUGGUUACAAAUAUUUCUACAUGUUGUUUUUUUUUCAAUUCCAAAAUUUAUUGGUUCUUUUUGUUUGCAUUCAGAUUUUUUUUAUAGAUGAUAUGCUAAAAUGAUGACAAGAUCUCUUGUAUAUGAAAGAAUAAAUUUGAUCAAGAUGAUUUUAUGGCAAAUAUAUUAAGUUUCUUAAAAGUUGUUUUAAAACAAUGCCUUUUUUUAACAAUUACCAGAGCCCGACAUGUUUGGUAUUAAUCAAAGUGAUGGAAAUCACUCAUGGAAAGAUUAGAAGAGUAGUUUGAAUUAUUUCAUAUUAAGGUAUGGUGGGGGAAAAUGAACAUUAAUAAAGCACUAUUGCUGAAAAUUGCAUUAACAGCAGGUCUUUAGAAGGAAACAUACUUUUCCAGUAUGAGGAUAAAAUGAGUUCACAUUUAAUAAUAUGGGUCUCUUAAUUUGCACAAUUUUAUCUUGUUUAUAUCUUAUCGAAAUAAUGUUGAGAGUUAUGAACAUGGUUAAAAAAAAAACCCAAAAAAAUGCAAAUCAAAAAUUCUUUAGUAAAUGUUACCAACUAUCCUUGUAAGACAUAAAAUCUAGACCAACAGCUAAAAACCUUAAAGUGUC